rnacentral:misc_RNA from 1 species
CAACUUAUUGAGAAUCAUCAUGUCGGAAAACAAAUGUCCUGUUCAGAUUGAUUUCUUCUGUACAACAUAGCAAAAUUACAAUACAUUUCAUGUUCCCGGCAAAAAUAUAUGCUCUGAAUAUCUCCUGUCAAAUCACAUGAACAAACUAAAUUCAUACAGAGUAUAGAGAAAAACUCUUGAAUGAUCAAUUAGAUCUACUAAAUGUACCAUAAACUAUUCCCAAUAAGUUGGUAAAAUCUGUCAAAGUCAUCAUAUUAGGUACCGCCCACAGAUGAACUCAUUAUUUGGAUCUUAUUCACAAGCAAGUUUAC